GACGAACGCUGGCGGCGUGCCUAACACAUGCAAGUCGAACGGAAGCAAAGAUUUCGGUUUUUGCUUUAGUGGCGAACGGGUGAGUAACGCGUGAGGAACCUGCCUUUCAGUGGGGGACAACAGUUGGAAACGACUGCUAAUACCGCAUAAUGCUUUUGAGUGGCAUCACUUAAAAGCCAAAGAUUUAUUGCUGAAAGAUGGCCUCGCGUCUGAUUAGCUGGUUGGCGGGGUAACGGCCCACCAAGGCGACGAUCAGUAGCCGGUCUGAGAGGAUGAACGGCCACAUUGGGACUGAGAUACGGCCCAGACUCCUACGGGAGGCAGCAGUGGGGAAUAUUGGGCAAUGGGGGAAACCCUGACCCAGCAACGCCGCGUGAAGGAAGAAGGCCUUCGGGUUGUAAACUUCUUUUACCAGGGGCGAAAGAAAUGACGGUACCUGGAGAAAAAGCAACGGCUAACUACGUGCCAGCCGCCGCUGUAA
rnacentral:rRNA from 1 species